UGAAGUAGGGAGUGAAAGAGUUCAUUUUGAUUUCGGAUUUGGUAUGUCAAAUGAGCAGCCUGUUAGAAAUUCAGAUACCGACUACGGGGACUCCGAUAAUUUACGAAGCAUUCAUAGUGAAGAGAAAGGCAAUAGAGCUUCAAGAAGGAGGCUUCCAAUGAUGCUUUCAAUGUGGGGACAGAUAUGGAGGAUCCAGUGUUCAAAACAGG
rnacentral:lncRNA from 1 species